GGGGGUGUGCCCGAGCGGUCAAAGGGAGCAGACUGUAAAUCUGCCGGCUUAUGCCUACAGUGGUUCGAACCCACUCGCCCCCACCA
rnacentral:tRNA from 1 species